rnacentral:misc_RNA from 1 species
GAUGAAGAACGUAGCGAAAUGCGAUACGUAAUGUGAAUUGCAAAUUCAGUGAAUCAUCGAGUCUUUGAACGCACAUUGCGCCCCCUGGUAUUCCGGGGGGCAUGCCUGUCCGAGCGUCAUUGCUGCCCUCAAGCACGGCUUGUGUGUUGGGCCCCGUCCUCCGAUCCCGGGGGACGGGCCCGAAAGGCAGCGGCGGCACCGCGUCCGGUCCUCGAGCGUAUGGGGCUUUGUCACCCGCUCUGUAGGCCCGGCCGGCGCUUGCCGAUCAACCCAAAUUUUUUAUCCAGGUUGACCUCGGAUCAGGUAGAGAUACCCGCUGAACUUAAGCAUAUCAAUAAGCGGAGGA